UUCUUACAUCCCGGUUCAUGCUGGUUUGAUUAGAAUGACGAAGAAGUUGUCAUAUUCCCAAACAGGAAAACUGGGAUCACCUGAUUUGAAAGUGGGAUAGUUUCUUCAUCCUAACACCUAUGAGAUUUAUUCAAACUUCCUGGUGAUUCUCCACUACUUUAUGUAACCAUGUCAAGCUUCUUGCAUCCCGGUUCAUGCUGGUUUGAUUAGAAUGACGAAGAAGUUGUCAUAUUCCCAAACAGAAAAAUUGGGAGCACAUGAUUUGAAAGUGGGAUAGCUUCUUCAUCCUAACUCCUAUCAGAUUUAUUCAACUUCCUGGUGAUUCUCCACUAAUUUAUGUAUCCAUAUCAAGCUUCUUUCAUCGCGGUUCAUCCUGGUUUGAUAAGAAUGACAAAGUAGUUGUCCUAUUCUCAAACAGGAAAACUGGGAUCACCUGAUUUCAAAGUGGGAUAGCUUCUUCAUCCUAACUCCUAUGAGAUUUAUUCAACUUCCUGGUGAUUCUACACUAAUUUAUGUAUCCAAAUCAAGCUUCUUACAUCGUGGUUCAUCAUGUUUUGAUAAGAAUGACGAAGAAGUUGUCAUAUUCCCAAACAGGAAAACUUGGAUCACCUGAUUUUAAAGUGGGAUAGCUUCUUCAUCCUAACUCCUAUGAGAUUUAUUCAAACUUCCUGGUGAUUCUCCACUACUUUAUGCAGCAAAAUCAAGCUUCUUACAUCGCGGUUCAUCCUGGUUUGAUAAGAAUGACAAUGAAGUUGUCAUAUUCUCAAACAGGAAAACUGGGAUCACUUGACUUUAAAGUGGGAUAGUUUCUCCAUCCUAAUUCCUAUGAUAUUUAUUCAACUUCCUGGUGAUUCUUCACUACUUUAUGCAUCCAAAUCAAUCUUUUUACAUCGCGGUUCAUCCUGGUUUGAUAAGAAUGACAAUGAAGUUAUCAUAUUCUCAAACAGGAAAACUGGUAUCACCUGAUUUCAAAGUGGGAUAGCUUCUUCAUCCUAACUCCUAUGAGAUUUAUUCAACUUCCUAGUGAUUCUCCACUACUUUAUGUAUCCAAACCAAGCUUCUUACAUCGCGGUUCAUCCUGGUUUGAUAAGAAUGACGAAGAAGUUGCCAUAUUCCCAAUCAGGAAAACUGGGAUCACUUGAUUAGAAAGUGGGAUACCUUCUUCAUCCUAACUCCUAUAAGA
rnacentral:lncRNA from 1 species